rnacentral:lncRNA from 1 species
CAGAUUGUUGAACCUGAAUUCUUUGUUAAGUUGUUUAAUUAUGUUUGAUGUGAAGGUUGAAGAUUAUGUAUGAUUAAUGAUGUAAUCUGGCCACAUGUACUAUAAAAUAGGCGGUGACAUUAUCAUGGAUAUAAACAAAUAGCAGCGACAUUGAUCCGAAAUAUGUUGUUUAAAAUUCAAUUUUACUAGUUGAUAUCGCAAGCUGUAAUUAAAAUCAUGUACGCCGUGAUUGUUUGAGUCCGUAAAUAGACUUUUUUAGGUGACAUACUUGCUGCAAAUGUGCUUUGUCAUGAUAACCGGGUCGGGGGUUAAUACAUAAACACUUGUUCCGCUGAUGGUCGCUGAUUUCACAUCCAUACCGCUGGCAAAAAAAACCUCCGGCCUUUCUCGAAAUAUUUCCUGUAUCAUCCAGUUUAAUUUUGUAAAUCCACUGUAAGUAUAUUUUGACUUGAUGAUUUUGGAAUUAACCAAUUGAUUUUCAAGUCUGAUUAAGCUCUAGAGCUCGUAUAUAUCUGGUCCGUCCUCCAUUGUUUUAGCCCAAGUUAGGAUCGUUGGUUCUUGGUCCGAAUAAAAUUUCUUGGAACUACCGGUAAUACUUGUACAGAGAGAAUACAUAUUUUGGAUUUGGGUGAAACAUACCAUUCUUUGCCCGAGUGUGCGUUCAUUGUAUGUGAUUGUAUAUAUACUGUUGAGAUUGUAUCAGAUAUUGGCGGCUCCCUUGAAAUUCCGUUGGAGUCGUAAAUUGAGUCGCUUGAUCGAGAUUGGUAUCUUUAUUUGUAUCGUCACAUGCGGUGGUUCUGUUGGAGGAAUAUUAUAUAAUCAACUAUCA